CAGGAUUCUGGAUGGAAUGAGUUUGAAAAAGAAGCUAUGCAAUGAGAAAUGCAAAACUUAAGAUGGGGAAUUGUCUGCCCCAUCUUUGGAAUUUCGUUAACUAAAAUGGUUCAAACUCCCAUAUCUUUACUAGGAUUUUAUGAUUUUUUUUCUCUAGACAGAACUUUAAUCUUACGCAUUUGCAAGAUAGAUCUCCUGUCUGACACUGAGGAAGGAUUUUUGCAACCACUUAAGCCACUCUCUAGAAGCUCAUUAACUGUUAAUUGAAUCCAAUUCGUAACAAAAAAAUCCUCUGUUUUCACUUUUGUUUCAGUCCAAAAGAAUUUCAGCUUUUCUGGCUUUCAGAUUAAAAAUUGUCUCUGAAGCAUCUGAGACGCAACAGGGAGGGUACAGUUUUUCAUUUUGUCCCAUGGACUGUGCUGGAAGGAACAAUAGUGUCAGAUCCUAAAAUCUUUUGACUACCUGCGGAGAGCAAAUACUCGUUUCAGUUUCGAAUAAAAAAAGCACAAGAGAGAAGAACAGUUUACAAGCAUGAGAAAGAAUUGUUUACAGCUAUAACAUCUUCUCAACUCUGCACUCCUACUCAUGACCAGGGGUCAAUUCCAGGAGCUCUGGUGGCAAAAAGCAGCUGAACAUCAAACACGUCUGAUCCCUGAAGAUUAUCUGAUAAACCUCCGAUGACUAAGGGCAGAUGUACUGGCUUGUAUGCCAUCUCCUUCCAGUGCCUGGGAACUGGGAGUGGAACCAGAAUGCGACUCUGCUCAGAUUUACACUUACCAGAAAAGUCUCUUACUCUUACUCAUCAGUGCUGGAGCUCUGCUUGGGGUAAGGUUUGCACAAUGGUAGGAGGGUGACAAGAUGGCUAAAAAUCUUCUUUGUCCUCUGCUUCUCAAUUAAAGGUGAAGAAUAAGAAAGAAUGUGAUCAUCUCACUUUUUUUUUUUAAUCAAGAUUUGCUUAAAAAUCUAACAAAUAAUAAAUGGAAUAACGUAUAAACAAGGUAUUGAAUGAAGGCAGAAAACUCUGAUAUACAAUGACAGAUUAAAAGUUUAUAAGAGAUGUGAAACUGACCAAAAACCACCACUUUUGAAGCCCAUUGUGACUUCAUAUAGCAUUGCCUUCAUUCAGAGUGGCUUUAACUCUGGGAUGCCUGCACUGUUAAUACUGCUUGCCUAGGCACUGCUGUUGUUCUGGCUUGCCUAGAGCUCUCACAAUGCUGUGCCUAGAGGUAUAAUGUAAGCUGAAGGCUUUGAAUACACACAUGGAAAAUGUGCUCGGUGUGGUAGUAUGUAUGUUUGUGAGAGAGAAAAUAACAGUAUCCAUAGCUAUGUCCUAAACGAAAAACAUUCAGCAAUUCAAACUGAAUCAGGGUCACAGUUUGUAAUAAUGCAGUGUCAAAAAUUAACAGCUAAAUUAGGGAUUUAUUUUGUUUGACUGUGUAAUCACUGAAAGCACCGACGGAAAACAAGGCUACCGUUCAAAAAUAAAAUAUCUAAAGUGCUUAGAUUAUUAAAAUACAUAGCUUAAAAAAGCAAAGCUUGUCAUAUGAGAUGUUCUGAGUCACUAAAGCUGUACUGUACCAUUAUGGAAAUGGAAAUGAUGCGAAUGAUUUUAUUUAUUUAUUUUUUUAAUUUAUAAGCUGUUGCUAUAUACUUGUGUAGAAGAUGGUAGAAAAAUAAU